GUUUUUACAAACUUAGCACAUAUAUAACAUUGGAAUGAUACAGAGAAGAGUAGCCUGGCCUUUGUGCAAGGAUAACAUGCAAAUUUGUGACGUGUUUCCCAAACUU